rnacentral:snRNA from 15 species
AGCCUCACCUAUCGCCGGGUUCAGGGUGAUCAAGAAUGCUCUGACCCUGAAUGGAGGCUCUCUAUUGCACCUCGGUGGGUUGAAAAUUGCAAUGGACCCUGAUCGGGUGCGCUCGAGUGUGUAGUUUCUCUUAAUAGUCCACCACUU